AGUGAACGCUGGCGGUAGGCCUAACACAUGCAAGUCGAACGGCAGCACAGUAAGAGCUUGCUCUUACGGGUGGCGAGUGGCGGACGGGUGAGGAAUACAUCGGAAUCUACUUUUUCGUGGGGGAUAACGUAGGGAAACUUACGCUAAUACCGCAUACGACCUACGGGUGAAAGCAGGGGGUCUUCGGACCUUGCGCGAUUGAAUGAGCCGAUGUCGGAUUAGCUAGUUGGCGGGGUAAAGGCCCACCAAGGCGACGAUCCGUAGCUGGUCUGAGAGGAUGAUCCGCCACACUGGAACUGAGACACGGUCCAGACUCCUACGGGAGGCAGCAGUGGGGAAUAUUGGACAAUGGGCGCAAGCCUGAUCCAGCCAUACCGCGUGGGUGAAGAAGGCCUUCGGGUUGUAAAGCCCUUUUGUUGGGAAAGAAAAGCAGCAGGUUAAUACCCCGCUGUUCUGACGGUACCCAAAGAAUAAGCACCGGCUAACUUCGUG
rnacentral:rRNA from 1 species